GAACUAAAGAGUUUGAUCCUGGCUCAGAUUGAACGCUGGCGGCAUGCUUUACACAUGCAAGUCGAACGGUAACAGGCCGCAAGGUGCUGACGAGUGGCGAACGGGUGAGUAAUGCAUCGGAACGUGCCCA
rnacentral:rRNA from 1 species